ACAGUUCAAUGUAGAAAUCAACGUGCCAGCGAAAUUUCGGGUUUCGGCACACACCACCGAAAAAAAGAACUUAAAAUAAUAAAUGCAGAAUAUUACGAUUACGCCACCAAACAAGAUCAAACCUUCCCAGUCCCAACUCCCCCCUCUUUUCCCUGACAUGAGGCUAGAGAGAGAGAGACGCUUUGGACUGUCGAAGUUUCAAUGAAAACCUGUAAGGAUGGUGGCCAAAACUAGGGUUUUGUAAGGACUUACCUCGAGAGUCUCGAUGGAAGUGCCCGGUAGGCGUUCUAACUACUCUCUGCUCAGCCAGUCUGCUGACGAUCAGUUCGCCGGAGCUCCGGGGCCGUACUACGAGUCUCUGUCUGGCGAAAAGGGCAACAAUAAAGGCAAGGGGGAGAGGGGGUUCGACUUCGACGGUGGGGAUCACCGGAUGCGGAUCGGGAGCGCGUUUCCGCAGUCGAUCGGGUUGCAGGGGCAGUCAAGUGGGAGUAGUUUUGGGGAGAGCACGUUGUCGGGAGAGUAUUCCUUGCCGACGGUAUCGAACGACAUCGAUGCGUUCGGGUAUUUGCACGAAGAUUUGUUCAAGGCUGGUGUGGGUGCUGGUGGAGGGGAAUUGAGGGCUAAGGGCGUGGAGGUGGCGCCCGGUGGGUCGUCUUCUUCGAAGAGUUGGGCGCAGCAGACGGAGGAGAGCUAUCAGUUGCAGCUCGCGUUGGCGCUUCGUCUAUCAUCAGAGGCUACAUGUGCCGAUGAUCCUAAUUUCUUGGAUCCAGUGCCAGAUGAAUUGGCGAUGCGGUCUUCCGCAAUUUCUGGUUCUGCUGAGGCUAUGUCACAUCGAUUUUGGGUGAAUGGCUGCCUAUCAUAUUAUGAUAAAGUUCCUGAUGGGUUUUACUUAAUACAUGGGAUGGAUCCCUAUGUCUGGACUGUAUGCACCGAUCUACAAGAAAAUGGUCGUAUUCCAUCAAUUGAAUCACUAAGGUCCAUUGAACAUAGUGUUAAUUCUUCAGUUGAAGUCAUUUUGAUUGAUCGGCGUAGUGAUCCCAGCUUAAAGGAAUUACAAAAUAGGGUCCUUAGCAUUUCUUGUAGUUGCAUUACUACAAAAGAUGUUGUUGAUCAGCUUGCUAAGCUUGUCUGCAAUCGCUUGGGGGGUGCAGCUUCCACUGGAGAGGAUGACUUUGUUCCCAUAUGGGGUGAGUGCAUUGAUGAUCUUAAGGAUUGCUUAGGAUCUGUUGUACUUCCAAUUGGUAGUCUGUCUGUUGGCCUUUGCACGCAUCGAGCUUUACUAUUCAAAGUGUUGGCUGACACAAUUGAUUUACCUUGUCGAAUUGCCAAGGGAUGCAAAUAUUGUGCAAGAGAUGAUGCUUCCUCUUGCCUUGUUAGGUUUGGGUUUGACAGGGAGUAUCUAGUUGAUCUGGUUGGGAGGCCUGGAUGCUUAUGUGGGCCUGAUUCCUUGCUCAAUGGCCCAUCUUCCAUCUCUAUUUCUUCUCCAUUGCGCUUUCCAAGAUUCAAACGGGUUGAACCUACAAUUGAUUUCAGUUCACUGGCCAAACAAUAUUUCUCUGAUAGUCAGUCACUUAAUCUUGUAUUUGAUGAUGCUUCAGCAGGCAAUAUUGGUGUUGAAGAAGUUGCUGGAGACUGUAGGAAAUCUGCAGUUAGAAAUGACAAUGUGUCCAUCUCAAUCAACAGUGAUGGAGUUCCUCAUUUACAUCAACCCCAAAAAGUUGUAUGGCCAAGUUCCAGUGAUGGAGAUUCCCAACUGUUUCAAUCAUGUAAUCCUUCUCAGAAUAUUUUAAGCUCAACAAACAUGGUCAAUGAUCAAAUCCCUAUAAAGCACAUCCCCCAUGGUCGCAGAGGUGCUCAACCACUUUUGGCCUUAUCUGAUCCAAGGGUUGCAAGGAUUGGUAUGGUUAAAAAUUUUCCAAGUAAAUCAAGCAGAGAAUUUUCCCUCGAUGUGGAGGACUUGGACAUUCCAUGGAGUGAUCUUGUCUUAAAGGAGAAAAUUGGAUCAGGUUCUUUUGGAACUGUCCAUCGUGCUGACUGGCAUGGCUCAGAUGUGGCAGUGAAAAUUCUCAUGGAACAGGAUUUUCAUGCAGAGCGCUUCAAGGAGUUUUUGCGUGAGGUUGCAAUAAUGAAAAGUCUCAGACAUCCAAAUAUUGUUCUUUUUAUGGGUGCUGUCACUCAGCCCCCCAACUUGUCUAUUGUUACAGAGUAUUUAUCAAGGGGUAGCUUAUAUAGGUUGUUGCAUAAACCUGGUGCGAGAGAGAUGUUGGAUUAUAGGCGGCGGUUGUAUAUGGCCUAUGAUGUGGCAAAGGGAAUGAAUUAUCUUCAUAGACGCAAUCCUCCCAUUGUACAUCGAGAUCUGAAGUCUCCGAAUCUUUUGGUUGACAAAAAAUACACAGUGAAGGUUUGUGAUUUUGGUCUUUCUCGUUUAAAGGCAAACACAUUUCUUUCGUCGAAGUCAGCAGCAGGCACUCCGGAGUGGAUGGCACCAGAAGUUCUCCGUGACGAGCCAUCUAAUGAGAAGUCAGAUGUUUACAGCUUUGGUGUAAUUUUGUGGGAGCUGGUAACAUUGCAACAGCCUUGGAGUAAUUUGAAUCCACCACAGGUUGUAGCAGCUGUUGGUUUCAAGGCAAAAAGGCUUGAGAUUCCUCGUGACUUGGAUCCUCAGGUGGCUGCCAUAAUUGAGGCUUGCUGGACCAAUGAGUCCUGGAAACGCCCGUCCUUUUCUAGCAUUAUGGAGUCCUUGAAGCCAAUAAUUAAACUGCCCAUGUCUCAGCCACCUCGCAUGGACAUGCCCCGACUUACUUGAAGAGAUAGGAUGUCUGAUUAGUUUUGUUUGUGCACAUAUAUAGCAUUCUUUUGAUGAUCUGAUGUCUGGACGGGAUAUAAGCUGUUCAGAUAAUCUCAGGAUCAUUGUUGUACAUUUUUGUUCUCAUGCCAAUUGAGGAUACUGAUUUGUAGCGCAAGCUGUCGUUAUACAGGAUCGUACCAUUGUCAUCGGCACUUUCCCACAAGAUUUGCCUGUGUCGUUUUUGUGCCAUUUUCGGAAAUUUGUAGCAUUUUACCCAUAGUUGUAUGUAUGUAACGUAUAACAGUGAAAUGAGAAGUUUUAACUUGCCGGCAUUAUGCUCGCUCUUCUGCUUUGUGUUGACAUUGUUGAGUUUAUUUACUUGAAAGGUAGUCAAUAUACUAGGUUUAAAUGCUGCUCUGACCCACAACCCUUGACCUUUCUCCUCGGCUGGGCUGGCGUAUGGACGAUCUUGACAAAAUAAAAUGAAUUGAUAUUGCCCGUUA